rnacentral:rRNA from 1 species
AACGAACGCUGGCGGCAGGCCUAACACAUGCAAGUCGAACGGUAACAGGCCUUCGGGCGCUGACGAGUGGCGGAUGGGUGAGUAACGCGUGGGAAUCUGCCUAGUAGUGGGGGACAACCUGGGGAAACUCAGGCUAAUACCGCAUACGCCCUACGGGGGAAAGCAGGGGAUCUUCGGACCUUGCGCUAUUAGAUGAGCCUGCGUCGGAUUAGCUUGUUGGUGGGGUAAAGGCCUACCAAGGCGACGAUCCGUAGCUGGUUUGAGAGGACGAUCAGCCACACUGGGACUGAGACACGGCCCAGACUCCUACGGGAGGCAGCAGUGGGGAAUAUUGGACAAUGGGGGCAACCCUGAUCCAGCAAUGCCGCGUGUGUGAAGAAGGCCUGCGGGUUGUAAAGCACUUUCGGAUGGGAAGAAAAGCUCAAGGCUAAUAUCCUUGAGUCUUGACGUUACUAUCAGAAGAAGCACCGGCUAACUCUGUG